AGAUGAGGAUCAAAGGCUAAAGAAGAGCUCGCCGUCCUGGCGAAACGCCUUUGUGACUCACAUCCUGUGAG
rfam:Virgibacillus soli strain PL205 scaffold000034, whole genome shotgun sequence.